ACUCCUACGGGAGGCAGCAGUGGGGAAUAUUGCACAAUGGGGGAAACCCUGAUGCAGCCAUGCCGCGUGUGUGAAGAAGGCCUUCGGGUUGUAAAGCACUUUCAGCGAGGAGGAAAGGUUGAUGCCUAAUACGUAUCAGCUGUGACGUUACUCGCAGAAGAAGCACCGGCUAACUCCGUGCCAGCAGCCGCGGUAAU
rnacentral:rRNA from 1 species